AGUCGAACGAGUAUCUCCGACACGGCAACAACUGCAGCUCACAAUUUGUCACCAACUGCCUUCUUCAUUGUACAACCAGUUCGCAAUCAUGGUACAGUCAAUUAUGACGCCGUGCUGCUGUUUGGUGUUGUAUCGUUAAUGGUUGGGUCGAACACGGGUGUACCGAUCUUCCUGGACAUGGUGGAUACCAAGCAACAGGAGCGAAAGAAUAUUACACCACGUCGCCGCCUCUUACACAACAACGUCUAGAUACGCAACAUCUACUAACUACGCCGAGGCCCCCAAGUGCUACACCUCCAAGGCUCAAGAGUUACGCUACAAAUUACGCUGCCCCGAGUUACAUCACCAAGGCGCCUGAGUACUACAUCACCGAUGUUCCCAAGUACUACACGACUACGAAUGCUGCCCCAGCCUACUACACCGAGGCUCCAACUUAUUUCAAUACCACAGCGUUCGAGUACUACACCUAACCGCACAAGCCCCGAACUACACAACCACAACUGAGGCGGCGAAUCAACUAUAGUGUCGUGCUACUGUUGGUUGUAUUAUCCUUAAUGUUUGGGUCGACCACUGGUGUUCCGAUGUCUCGUGGGUAUGGCGGAUACUAAACCGCAAUGCGGUGUCUUACUACACAACAACAUAUGCAACAACCGGAUAAUACACCAUCAACACCCUGGAGUAUUACUCCAGAACUUAUGAUGUCCCGAGCUUCUACACCGAAACUUUGAAGUAUAACUCUGCCCUGAGUCAAACCACGAAGGGAGCGGAGUACUACACCACGAAGGGAGCGGAGUACUACACCACGAAGGGAGCGGAGUACUACACCACGAAGGGAGCGGAGUACUACACCACGAAGGGAGCGGAGUACUACACCACGAAGGGAGCGGAGUACUACACCACGAAGGGAGCGGAGUACUACACCACGAAGGGAGCGGAGUACUACACCACGAAGGGAGCGGAGUACUACACCACGAAGGGAGCGGAGUACUACACCACGAAGGGAGCGGAGUACUACACCACGAAGGGAGCGGAGUACUACACCACGAAGGGAGCGGAGUACUACACCACGAAGGGAGCGGAGUACUACACCACGAAGGGAGCGGAGUACUACACCACGAAGGGAGCGGAGUACUACACCACGAAGGGAGCGGAGUACUACACCACCGCGUAUGCUGCCCCAGCCUUUUACACCGAUCGCAUAUUAUGCUACAACCCGCGCUGCCCUCAGCUACUAUACCGAGGCUCCCAAGUACUACACCACCAAGGCAGCAGAGUAUUACACCACAAACUUCUUGCUUCCGCAACUUGCUACAUGGAGGUUCCUAAAUAAUAGAGCCGAAAUUUCCAUUUUAUUUUAUUCAUGUGUGUCGGUUGUCUUCAUGGUCAUUGGUCACUGGGAAUUAAUGGUUGAACUUGAGUUUGAAGUUGAAACUGAGAAAAUAAAAAUUCUAAUGUGGGUAA